rnacentral:rRNA from 1 species
UACGUAGGGUGCGAGCGUUAAUCGGAAUUACUGGGCGUAAAGGGUGCGCAGGCGGCCCUGUAAGACCGGUGUGAAAUCCCCGGGCUCAACCUGGGAAUUGCGCUGGUGACUGCAGGGCUAGAGUACGGUAGAGGGGGGUGGAAUUCCUGGUGUAGCAGUGAAAUGCGUAGAGAUCAGGAGGAACACCGAUGGCGAAGGCAGCCUCCUGGGCCUGUACUGACGCUCAUGCACGAAAGCGUGGGGAGCAAACAGG